GUACGUGUCAAGUGCAAUCUGAGAUCCCUUGUCAUGAUGUGUUAGGGCAGCUGUCUGCUAUUUGUGUGGCAGUGCACAUCUUUGCCAGUAAACUGCUAUUACUCUGGGUUGUGCUGUGUCUGCUGUCUGCAGGGUACUGGGAAAGCUGCCAGGGAGAGUGUGACUGCUUGCACUGAGGUGGCUGGGCAGCACCUCUUGUAAUCCGUGUUCUGUGCGGUGUAUUGAUUGGGAUUGUGGAUAGGCCCUGGGGGAUGAACACCAACACCGAGUUCCAGAGCCUGACUUUUUAAUCAGCAACAGGUUUAGUAGCUGGGAGCAGCUGGGUAAUGUCUGCUUAGGAAAAAAAAAAACCAAUUGUACCAGAUGAAGCCAAAAACUGUAAGGUGAUUAUUGUUUUAGCAGCUAUACGUAACUAAAUGUGGGAUACAAUUGAGUAGCAGUGGUCAUGAUAGGUGACUUUCUACCUGCACAAUAGAAAGUACCACUUACAGGCAUGAAUGAUGCUGAGUCUGGUCCAGAGGCAAACUUGAAAGAGCAUUCAUCUGCCAUGGAUAAGAAGACAGAGAACUGCAGAAGUUAUCCCCAAAGUGCUGCCUGCCGCCUUCUUGCUGGCCAGCUCCUUUUGUGGAAAGAGUUUACUUGGAAACAAGGACAGAAUUACCUCUUCUCCUUGGGUGAAAUGUACUCUUUAGUACAAAAGCAAAGACCCAGCUAUGCACCGUCCUGUACUGCAGAGUCCAUACAAGAGCAAAGCCAAACAAGGGAGCAGGUGUCGAGCUUUUGUUGAUUUUUUUCACUUGGAAAGGGUGUAUAUUUUGAAGUAAUGACUGGUCAAAGAGGAGUAUCAGUGCAUUUCAAGGAGCAAAGUGUGAGAGAUUUUCAGCUUGAUCUCAGAAAAUUGAUGUAGUCCACAUUGCAUACUGCACUGCACCUCCAGUUUGGACAGGAGAGGAGCUGUGUUAGCAAAUGCUCAACCAAAUGUAAAAACAUUGCUAAAGUAAUGGACUCCAACAAAGAUCCAAUUUCACUUUAGGGGAGAAAAUUGAUCUUCAGAAAAGCGAUUGGAGCUGCAGGUUUCCUGCUGUGGGAGAACCCAGGCUACCUGGGAUGUGUUCAGACCACAACAACUCCGUGUCCUUCUUGUGCUGGGGGCCCCAGAACUGGAUGCAGUAGUCCACGUGGGAUCUCACGAGAGGAGAAUAGAGGGGCAGAAUCACCUCCCUCAACCUCCUGGUCACGUUUCUCUUGAUGCAAUACAGGAUAUGGUUGUCCUUCUGAGCUGCAAGCACACGCUGCUGGAUCAUGCUGAAUCUUUCAUCAAGUGACAUUCCCAGAUCCUUCUCCUCAGGGCUUCUCUCAAGCCAUUCUCUGCCCAACCUCUGUCUGUGCUUGGGAUUGCCCCAACCUGGGUCAAUUUCAAACGUCAAGUCAAUUUCAAAGAUGAAGUUUUACCAUUGUCUUACUAUUUGCUAGCAAGAGUGUAUUUGUUUUUUUAGCAGUAGCUUCAGUUCACUCAGUGACUGCUCUGAGCCAUCAGUGGCAUCAGGCAUGCCUCUCUCAAGCAUGAAAACAGCCUCUUGGAACACAUGAAAUGUGAGGCCGUUUCCUUGUGAGUUAGAAAUAGCAGUAAGAGGAGGCAUCUUUGUUCUGUUGUGCUUUACUUCUUGUUUGAGAUUUUCGAGGGUUUUGUUUGUUUGUUGUUUUCCUAAUUCUGUUUUACUUCUCCUUGUCGCAUUAGUGUUCUUUGAGGUUGGUUAGGUGUUUUUUGUUUUGGUUUGGUUUGGUUUGGUUUUUUUUGCUGUUUUGUUUUGUUUUCCAACCACAAUGCUGAGGAGAAUCAUUCAGCCUCCAGCUAUUUUUUAUGAAAACUUCUGAAGAAGACAUCUAGCAUGUGUCCCUUAACUGCUCUUGUUCAUUGCUGGCAAAUGCAUAGCUAAUGGUGGUGAUUACAUUGAAAAUCAGUGUUCUGUAGCUGAGAAUUUGCUCUAUGAAAUAGUUUUAUUACUCUCUUUGUAUCUGUUGUCAUUUCCAUGGAAAUAAAUAGGAGGCAUUACUUUCAGAGUGACCUGCAUAUGUGAAUGGAGAAUAGAUACAUUUUCACUAAAUAUUCCAAAGCCAUCUCUGUGCAAUACCCCUGAUGUCUGUGCUGUCUUGAAAAGGUUGACCUUGUUGAUAUUCAAGAAGAUGAGUGUUAAAUGGCUUCAGUGUGAGGUUCUGUUGAAAUGAUAGAGAGAGUAGAUACCACUUCUCCAGAAAUUAUUAGACUGCAUCUGUUAAACAACAGAAGAAUUUGGCAAAAUAGAGCAUGUAAGCUGAGAAUAAGGGAACUUAGGUUUGUCAGCUGUAAUUAUGUUUAUGGAAGUUUCUUGUACUGUAUGUUCAUAGCUUCUUACACUCUGUACCAGAAGUCAUCAGUACCCAAUUGCGUAUCUGGCUCUUGCUGUCUUGUGAAAGACAUUCCCUUUUUGUGGAGACCUAUAGACCCUCUUCUUCCUAAGGAAUGGUUGCAUGUCCUAUUUUGGCAACCGCAUGAAAGGAGAGAUGUUGAAAUAAAACAUAAUUAGUAAUGAUUCUCCAGUAUCACCUGAUUACACCAGUAAUAAAAAUGUAUUUGGGUAAAAUUAGUAAAUUAAUGCAGAUUGAAAUAAUUGUCAGUAUAAAUGAUUUGGUUUGAGCUUUGCUAAACAAAUUGUGUGUUUUAACAGACAAACACUUAUGGUUUAGUGCAAAAAGGAUUUUAAAAGUCAUUUUCCAUGCAUAGUCCCUAUAUAUCAGGGAGGAGAAAUAAGGGAAAAGACUCUUCAAGGCACCAAAUAUUUUUGUAUACAAAAGUAGAUUUCAUCUCAUAAAAUAAUUUUUGAAGAGAAAAACACUCCUCCCUCUUGCCCUGACCUCAGAUGGAAAGGAGAAGAGGCACCUAUUGUGGUACAAUGUUGCUUGGGAAAACAUUGUGGCUGUCUGUUUUGAAGGAAAUGAAAAACCAUUAAAAGGAUAAUAGAAUAAAAGUGCAAUGAGAUGUUCGAAGGAUCCAUCAAUAAAAGGAUGGCAAGCAAUCGCUAAAGACAGCCCUUUCUAAAUGUAGUUUUAUUGCCAGAGGAUGGAAAAUUGAGAGAGAAUUUGCGAACAAUUGAAUUUAUGGUAAUGGCAUAUAAGCAUAUUGUACCACCAAAGCAAAGCACAGAGAGAGUAUAAAACACAAAAUACACCUAUGUCCCAUGGAAACGCUCGUGUUCUGCCUAUUAUCUCCUGGUAUUGCAAAAUGUAAUAUCCAGAUAUUAAAAUCAAAUAUAUUGUGAAAUGCAUUAGCAGUCGUUGACACGGAUGACAUUCUGCUCUGUGCCUGCUUUAAGGUGAAUUGCUGGACCAAAAGUAAUGCCAGAGGUGAGUGCAAAGGAGCUUGCUCCUGUGUGCUCAGGGCAACGUUGUUUCUUGGCUUCGGUGACAUCUGGGCAUCCCUGUGCUGGCUUAUGGGCAAAUCACCUGGGGAUAAUUUGAGUCAAUUUGGAUUUUAAGCCUUUUUAAAAUGCGCUGUUGCUCGGUCUGUACAGCCGGCAGAGGUGGCUGCUAAACAACAGGCAGGAAGAAAAUAAUUAACUGAUGGGCUGGGAGAUGGAGCCUGCCAGUAACCAGAUAAACCGGAAAGGAGAAGAACAACUUCUGCCACAGGACAGGCACAAAUAUCUGCUCUGUACGAAGCCACAGAGAAAGGCUGAUAGCGUGAAAAACCUGUGGCUGAAAAACCACAGGCGUCAGGGAACUAACUGUAUGCUUACAGUCAGCCUGCACUCGACCAGAAGGGCAGCCUUCAGGGAGGGAUGGGGAAGGCUUUCCUGUAAGACGCUUCGAUUUUCUUGCAUCUGUGGAGAAACUGCUGGCCUGCUUUCAAAGAGGAUAUCUGUGGGUGGUUUGGGUUUAGUUUUUACACCAUCUCCCUGCUUCACGGUACCAGCAGCCUGCUGUAGCACUGUGCCUCCCCUAGGGGCUGCAGGGUGGUGAGGUGUUGUUUCUGAUGCCCCAUCCCCACUGCUGCCCUCUCCCAUUGCUCUCGCUGCAGUGCUGCUGCCUGCAACAGGGGGACAACACAGCUGCAAAAACAAUUGGGGAUUACUUUCUAGUGUUGUUUAGCUUUUUAAAGUGUAGUCCUUCCUACCACCAAGGAGAGCCUGCAAGCAAGUACUGGUGGGAUUAGAGAGCAUUGGGUUCUAGUGUUGGGUUCGAGUGUAGGCAGACAUGAGGUUAGAGAGUGUUGGCAGAUCUCGGAAUGUACCACCAACACACAGAAAUGGCAGAGCCAGCUUAUGACCCUGCUAAGACAAGUGGACAAGCCACCGACAGUUAAAAUACCACUAAGCCAAGACUCUGUUUUAAAGAUAAAGACUUCAGUGUUAACUUCUUUGUCAGCAGCACAGCAUUGUCUCUUUCCCUAAAAAUCUAAUUAGCAUGUAUCACAGUGUUGUUAUUAUUAAUGACUCUACCCCUCCUGAAAUAUAACAUUUCUGAUUUACAAUGUUUUGUUUGUUUCGCAUUGUUUCACCUGAAAUACGGUGACUGCUAAAUCUCUGGUAAGCCCUUAAAUGAGGGAGGAACAGCAAAAUGAGCUCUGCCGAAGGAUUUUAACCUAUCAUUCCAAGAGCAUAGUUAUCUUGGCAGCAAACAAGGAUUUAAGUACCUUUGAGAAAUUUGACUUUAAUUGUGGAGGAAUGGCAUCAUCAGCUGCAAAAAGUUAAACCCCUCAAAAGCACUCUACUUUUUCAUUAGCAACUAUUUAGGUGAUAAUUAGCAGGAGGAGGACUGGAGGGAUGUCAAAGCAUGUGCAGAAUCACCUGGCCUUGGGAGGGUCAUAGGGCCUUUCAGAGAGUUCAUUUUGAGUUCCUGGAGGUCUACAGCAUGGAAACGUGAUGCUGUGGGCAGUCUGUAGCUUAGCUGAGAGGAGAAAAGUUAAAACCUGGCUCUGAAGAUAAAGCUGGGGAGCAAUUUGUGAGUAUAUUAAGAGCUAGAAUGGAAGUUGGUCGUGUCCUUUCACAGGGCAUGAUUCUUGGGGUUAUGUUAUUUCCCUCGCUAUCACAGUAGGCAUCCUAAGAGUUUGAUGUGCUGUUGUCUCAUGAGCAGCCCUGUAAGUGUAACAUAAAGCAUGGGGAGCUGGAGGAGGUAUUUUGAUAUUAGUUCAAGAUCUGCACCCUCUUUUCCCACACAACCAGAGCUCUUGUGAUAAAAGAUGUAUACAUACAGAAACAACAAUUAUUUUCUAGAUAAUUUCUUAUAAUAUGAAAAAAUGUGGAUAGUACUGACUACAUGUUCUGCAAGGAGCUAUGGUGGAAACCAUCAUGGAUUAAAUGCUCCCAUCUGUGGUACCUAGCUACUUGUGAAUGUUUCAGACCUUGUUUGUUAGGAAGCUGGACUUUCCAAGCACUGAUAUGCAUCCGUGGCUGCUGCUUUCUCCUCAGGAGCUGCCCCUCCCACUGGUCACUACAGCAUGGUGGUGGUUUGAUGUGUCCUUCCAAGGCUGGCCACUGUCAAUCACCAGCUUUGUGAUAAUGAGCGCUCAGCUGGCUGUCCUUGUUCUUCCCACCUCCUCCCAUUCUCCAGUCAGAAAUCCUGAUUUACUAAGCUGUCUUCAAGCACAAAUCUGAUUCAGUACUGUAUUUGUCAAUCCCAACUCCCUUCAUUCAAGCAGAAUGGCUGAAAAGCAGCAAACACAACUCUGCACCUGAUAGGGUCCAGCACUGUGGAAAUCAGUAUCUGAAGACUGGAGUCAGGCUCUCCUUCUAUACAAUUUAAAUAAGUUCUUUACAGAGGGAACUAUGCAUUUCCUUGUCAAUCACUGCCUUCUGCCAAGUACUCAGCUUUCAUUCUCUUCACCAUUAGCCCUGUCUUCAAUUUAUUCUGUAUAAAUUGAGAUGCUGUAAUUGGGCUUCUCUGGGUCUGCACAGCCUGUCUUCAAGUACCCCAAGUGUCUUUUCCAGUCUUCAAUUACUCCUCUGAUAGACUACAGGCAUCCUGCCUUUUAGUUUAUUAGGCAGCUUCUUAUCUCAAUUGUAGUCUUAAAAAACUCCAUCAUUUCAGUUGCACAGCUCUAAUAAUUAGUUUCUGCUUUUCUGGUCUGGAUAGUGCUACUUUAGCUUUUAUAAAGAAAAUGGGAGAAAGAGCUGUAUGGCAGAAACCAUUACCUCUGGUAGCGCUCAGCCAUGUAGAGUGAGCACUCCAGUCAUAUGCAUCAGAUUCUGAAUCCUGUAAAGCUGUGGUGAUGAGCAGACAAACAACAACAACAAAAAGGUGCUAACAGGGGAUGAAAAGAUGAAUGAGGUGAGAUAGAUUACCUUUUCACAAAAAAUGCUCAUUGUAUCUUUCCAUUGCCAAUCUGUAGCAAUUAUAUUUUCAUUGGGAAGAUGAGCUUGAUCUGGGUUUAGAGAUGCACGUAUGAAUCUUAAUCAUGUAGCAAUAUAUGUAGAACAGGCUGCCAAAGUACAAAUAUUCUGAUUUUCACCUGCAAUAAUACCUGAAGUUAGAAUAAGAUUCAGCACUUCUAAAUGUUAUUUAACCUCCGGAAGAAGGAAGCCUGAUUUGAAUGCAUUGAGAUGCUAUGAACUAGAGGUGUUUUAAUCAGGUAUUCCCACCAGUGGGAAUCCAUAACUGCAACAAAUAUUCCUCCAGACGAAUGAACACAAGGAUCACUUUUGGCCUUCAGCUGCCCCUACUCCUGACCAGCCACGUGACGCACUGCUGGGUCUUGCAGACAAGCCAUCUUCUGUGCCUAGAGAGAGUAUUGGGGUAUCUCCAUCCACUUCCAUCAUUUGUCAGGCUGCACCAAGCUCAUCGCCACCAGAGCUGGUCCAUCUUCUGACCAUUCACAGGCAAGCAAUUUGGAGCUCUUUUUUCUGGAGGCCAGCAAACAUGUGAUACCUCAUAUGAUGUGGAGCUCUAUGGGCACUACAGGAGCCUGACAAAAGGUUAAGUAAGACCCUUGCCGGGCAUUAUUUUAAUUACUCACAGGUACAGUGCAAGGUGGUGCCUGCCAAGGCUACUGCUCAUUUGGCUGUGCUUCAAUGUUGUUCAGGCAGGAGGAAGUUUUAAUAAAUUAUCAUCAAGCAGGGAACGUGGCUAUAAUACUGUGCCAUAGAAUGGAGAGUUUUACAGCUAUUUUCAGUCUUUCUGGGUCAUAUCUCAGCUUCCUUCCUUUGAACUCUUGUAAGGGAAUUCAGUCUAUGUACAACAUUAAGGGUUUUUUUUCCCCUUUGGCGGAGCCCUGAAUACCUUCAUUUUUCAAAUAGAGAGGCUGAUCCCAUAACUCAGAUGAGUUAGCUGCCUUAUGGGCAUGACACAUAAAGGCAGGAGAAACUGGCCUUUAUGUGCAGGGUCUGCGACCCAAAAAGCGUGACUCGCAUACUUAGUUUCCAUCCUCUUGACAAGUAGCCAGUUUCUGCAGUAAGAUGAAAUACAUCUCCUCUACACAUAGCUGCUACCAUUUUAAGGUUAAAUCUUGACAAACUCUGGAAGGCAGCAGGGAAAGUUCAGCUGUUAAAAAUGCAAUGGGGUUUUAUGGAAAGGCUUUCUGAGGAUGAUGAGCAUAUUGGCAGGAAAAACUAUCAGCGAUUUCAGUACAAGUUUUUUGGUGCCUGCAUUCCAGCUGUAAAAAAAUACACGUGCACCUGAAAGCUUUUUUCAGGACCAGAAAGCUAUACACAUAAAACUAGCUGAGAGUUACGUGGUUGCAACUGAAAGCAUUCAGGCACAAAAUGUUUCCUUUGACCAGUUCUUUGUGCAAAUGGCAGGGAUGGUGAGUGCUUGUGGAACUUGCUUGUUUGAGAGACUGUUGGUGAAAUACAGUACUAGAGAUGCCAUACCCUACGUUUUUUCCUACUUCAAAGCAGGGACAUUAGUGGAGAUGUGCAAACUGGAUCCUGUAUCUAACACGUUCAUGUGGUUGCAGUUUGUCCCUGGCACCCAGCAAGCAGAGCAGUGGCCACACUCCUUUACCUAUCUCUGGAUUUUA
rnacentral:lncRNA from 1 species